UUUUUUUUGGUGCAAUUUUAGGGUAAGUACCUUGUUCAAGGGAACUACGGUCGGAGGCGAAAUUCAAAUCUGCGACUUUUGGGUCCGAAAGCAGCAGCUCUAACCACUACGCUACCAGCUGUCCCUAAAUUAGUUCAUUGUCAUCUAAUAAGGACGCACGUUGCAGACGUGCUCGGACACGUUGCGCUGCUGUGGGACCUCUUCUGUCGCACACGCCGUCUCCUUCAUCCUGUCUGCCAACCGGAUCCUAGCUGCUCGCUCGGGGACCUAACGGCCUGUGACAGGAGAGCCGAGGGAGAGCAGCACUGCGCGCCCAACUUUGCCUGGAGUUGAGCUCUCGGGGGGCCUGGUACAGAUGGGGGACCAGCGGCCCCGCUGGCUAGGGGGCCUUUCUCAUCAGUCUUCUCUCCUUCAUUGCUUUCAUCGCUUACCUUCUCCUUGUAAAUGAGGGGCAUCAGCAGCACAGCAGGGGAUCCAUGCUAAUCCAGAACACUUUUGAAGGGGGAACAAAGAUGACAUCGUUUCAAGACCCUUAACCCCCCAGGAUGUUAAUAGUGUUUCAGCAUGCUGUUGGGACCCUGGUGUAGUUUAUGUAUUGCAGUGUUUUUCUCUGAUUGUGUCAUGAGUCAUGUUGAUCUUUGCGCUGAUGUCAGUAUGCUCUUCCCAGCAGGUGAAGGUGAGGCCAUUUGCGACAGCAGUGUCCUGCCAGGGCCAGGUGAAAUCAGAAUGGGUUGAGCAGCUGUCGUCCGCCUGUGUGUUGAUGGAGGUGGGUGGGGCAGUCAGCAAGGCCUACCUGUGACGUGAAGUCAUGCUGCUGAAGCUGUCGGCC